UGUUUCGGCUAGGGGGCCAUCCCGGCUUACCAACCCGAUGCAAACUGCGAAUACCGGAGAAUGUUAUCACGGGAGACACACGGCGGGUGCUAACGUCCGUCGUGAAGAGGGAAACAACCCAGACCGCCAGCUAAGGUCCCAAAGUCAUGGUUAAGUGGGAAACGAUGUGGGAAGGCCCAGACAGCCAGGAUGUUGGCUUAGAAGCAGCCAUCAUUUAAAGAAAGCGUAAUAGCUCACUGGUCGAGUCGGCCUGCGCGGAAGAUGUAACGGGGCUAAACCAUGCACCGAAGCUGCGGCAGCGACGUUUAUGCGUUGUUGGGUAGGGGAGCGUUCUGUAAGCCUGCGAAGGUGGCCUGUGAGGGUUGCUGGAGGUAUCAGAAGUGCGAAUGCU
rnacentral:rRNA from 1 species